GACAGAGGCCUCGAGCGUUAGGCGGAAUCACUGGGCUUAAAGCGUGUGUAGGUGGAUUUGUAAGUACCUUGUGAAAUCCCAUGGCUCAACCGUGGAACUGCUGGGCAUACUGGACAUCUCGAGGCACUCAGGGGCGAGCGGAACAAGUGGUGGAGCGGUGAAAUGCGCAGAUAUCAGGAGGAACACCGGUGGCGAAGGCGGGUCUCUGGGCCGUAACUGACGCUGAGGAGCGAAAGCAUGGGGAGCGAACAGG
rnacentral:rRNA from 1 species